rnacentral:rRNA from 1 species
UACGUAGGGUGCAAGCGUUAAUCGGAAUUACUGGGCGUAAAGCGUGCGCAGGCGGUUGUGUAAGUCUGUCGUGAAAUCCCCGGGCUCAACCCGGGAACUGCGUCCGAUACUGGAAGGCUUGAAUCCGGGAGAGGGAUGCGGAAUUCCAGGUGUAGCGGUGAAAUGCGUAGAUAUCUGGAGGAACACCGGUGGCGAAGGCGGCAUCCUGGGCCGGCAUUGACGCUGAGGCGCGAAAGCCAGGGGAGCAAACGGG